GCUGAAGAAGAGAGAUUGAGGAAAGAGUUCGAGGCUGAGGGGAAAGCUUUGUCCCCCAAGGAAAAACUUGAAACAUGCGACUCAAAUGUUAUUACUCCUGGCACUUCAUUUAUGGCUGUGUUGUCUGUAGCUCUGCAGUAUUAUAUACAAUCUAGGUUGAAUCACAAUCCUGGCUGGCGAAAUACAAAGGUUAUUCUUUCUGAUGCGAAUGUUCCCGGUGAGGGAGAGCACAAGAUUAUGUCAUAAAUUCGGUUACAACGUAACCUUCCUGGCUUUAAUCCAAACACGCGGCAUUGUCUGUAUGGUCUGGAUGCUGAUUUGAUCAUGUUGUCCUUAGCUCGGGUGUGACAGAGACAACACAAUACAAAAGAAACACAAUGUGACUAAAGCACAAGUUCAUGGCUUGAACAAUAUGUUGAUGCUGAGAAGGAACCAGUAAACUAGAAUUUAUUGAAGUCCAGCAACAUUAAAGAUGAAAAUGACAUCAAAUAAUGCAGAGAACGGCGAUUAAGAAUU